GACGGAAGGUGCAAGCGUUGCUCGGAAUCAUUGGGCGUAAAGGGUGCGUAGGCGGCUUGGUGGGUCUGGUGUGAAAGCCCCGGGCUUAGCCCGGGAAGGCGCUAGAAACUGCCGAGCUCGAGUGCCGGAGGGGAGAGUGGAAUUCCUGGUGUAGCGGUGAAAUGCGUAGAUAUUGGGAGGAACACCAGUGGCGAAGGCGGCUCACUGGACCGGUACUGACGCUGAUGCGCGAAAGCGUGGGAGCAAACGGG
rnacentral:rRNA from 1 species